rnacentral:rRNA from 1 species
UACGAAGGGGGCUAGCGUUGUUCGGAAUCACUGGGCGUAAAGGGCGCGUAGGCGGCCAUAUAAGUCGGGGGUGAAAGCCUGUGGCUCAACCACAGAAUUGCCUUCGGUACUGUAUGGCUCGAGACCGGAAGAGGUAAGUGGAACUGCGAGUGUAGAGGUGAAAUUCGUAGAUAUUCGGUAGAACACCAGUGGCGAAGGCGACUCACUGGCCCGUUACUGACGCUGAGGCGCGAAAGCGUGGGGAGCAAACAGG